CCAGACUCCUACGGGAGGCAGCAGUGAGGAAUAUUGGUCAAUGGCCGGAAGGCUGAACCAGCCAAGUCGCGUGAGGGAAUAAGGCCCUAUGGGUCGUAAACCUCUUUUGUCAGGGAGCAAAGGCGUCCACGUGUGGACGAGAGGAGAGUACCUGAAGAAAAAGCAUCGGCUAACUCCGUGCCAGCAGCCGCGGUAAUACGGAGGAUGCGAGCGUUAUCCGGAUUUAUUGGGUUUAAAGGGUGCGUAGGCGGAGUGUCAAGUCAGCGGUAAAAUUGCGUGGCUCAACCCCGUCGUGCCGUUGAAACUGACGCCCGUGAGUGAUGGAGAAGUAUGCGGAAUGCGUGGUGUAGCGGUGAAAUGCAUAGAUAUCACGCAGAACUCCGAUUGCGAAGGCAGCAUGCCGGCGCACGACUGACGCUGAUGCACGAAAGCGUGGGUAUCGAACAGGAUUAGAUACCCGUGUA
rnacentral:rRNA from 1 species